rnacentral:rRNA from 1 species
CACGUAGGGGCAAGCGUUGUCCGGAAUUAUUGGGCGUAAAGAGCUCGUAGGCGGUCUGUCACGUCGGAUGUGAAAUCCAGGGCUCAACCCUGGACCUGCAUUCGAUACGGGCAGACUAGAAUUCGGUAGGGGAGACUGGAAUUCCUGGUGUAGCGGUGAAAUGCGCAGAUAUCAGGAGGAACACCGGUGGCGAAGGCGGGUCUCUGGGCCGAUAUUGACGCUGAGGAGCGAAGCCAGGGAGCAAACGGG